UGGCGGACGGGGGAGUAAUGUCUGGGAAACUGCCUGAUGGAGGGGGGUAACUACUGGAAACGGUAGCUAAUACCGCAUAACGUCGCAAGACCAAAGAGGGGACCUUAGGGCCUCUUGCCAACGGAUGUGCCCAGAUGGGAUUAGCUAGUAGGUGGGGUAACGGCUCACCUAGGCGACGAUCCCUAGCUGGUCUGAGAGGAUGACCAGCCACACUGGAACUGAGACACGGUCCAG
rnacentral:rRNA from 1 species